rnacentral:misc_RNA from 1 species
UUUCCGUAGGUGAACCUGCGGAAGGAUCAUUACUGAGUUAGGGUCUUUUAGGCCCGACCUCCAACCCUUUGUCUACCUAACUAUAUGUUGCUUCGGCGAGCCCGUUUCUUGAAAUAUAGAGACCGCCGGAGGCAUUCUUGCCUCUGGUCCGCGCUCGUCGAUAGCCAAUUUAAACUCUUGUUUAACUAUGUCGUCUAAGUAUAAGCACUUAAUAAACAAAACUUUCAACAACGGAUCUCUUGGUUCUG